rnacentral:lncRNA from 1 species
CGUAAGCUUUUGUCAGGUGUUUCUCGAUGUUUGAGCGAAUCUUCUGAAAUUCGUCAGCUCUUGACAAUUUUCCCUCACCCUCGUUGAGUAAUUCGACUUCUCGCAACAUUUUGUAAUCUUGGCCAUGUGAAAUCAUGUGCUGACCAAAGACCACAAAAUAUGGUGCCAUGCCAACUGAUUGGUGUAUUGAUUUUCUCAAAGAACAGUUUAUGCUACUAAGGAACACAUCCCAUUCACGAUGGUCAGUACGAACGUACGCUCUGAGCGCGGCAUUAAUCGAUCGGUUAACCCUUUCCGCGGCAUUCGACUGUGGAGCAUACGCCCCUGUACAUAAGUGCUGAACACCGUACUUCAAAAGGAAUUUAGAAAAAUCACUACUUUUAAACUGCGUACCGUUUUCGAUCACUAGCACUUCCGGCACUCCAUAACAUGAAAAUAUCUCUUCCCUCAAUAUGUCAUUCACUAUCUGGGAAGAAAAUUUCUUGACCGCCUUUAAGAAGGUAAAUUUUGAGAAGUGAUCCAGGAUGAUAAAUAUUCCUAUGUUGCCCUUUCUGCUUCGAGGAAAGGGACCAAUGAAAUCGAUGUACAACCGUUGAAAGGGACGUUCGCUAACUACUCUAGCGCCCAUAGGAGGUUUGAGAGAGCGUGUGGGAUGUUUUCUGGUCUGGCAUACAUCACAUGCGGAAAUAUAAUCGCGGACGUCUAUAACCAUUUUUGGCCAGUAAAAUCGUUGCCUUAUUUGGUCGAGGCAUUUGGCAAUCCCACAAUGUGCAGAGGAAGGUUGGUCAUGCGCAGCUUUAAUUACGCCCUGUCUCAAGGCUUCGGGAACAAAUAAUUUCCACGACUCAUCGGCUUGGUC